GGACUUGGACAGCAAUAACAAUCAAAAUGCAGAUAAAUGGAAGGAUGAGAGAAAGAGAGAAAAAGAAUAUUAAUUCUAUAUGAUUCCAAUAUGUAAUAUGUAAGGUCUAUGAGUGACCUUAUGAAUGAUAGUGUAAG